GUGAGUAAUAAAGCUGUUUAUUUCACCUGGGUGCAGGUGGGCUGAGUCCGAAAAGAGAGUCAGCGAAGGGAGAUGGGGUGGGGCCGUUUUACAGGAUUUGGGUAGGUAAAGGAAAAAGGGGGGUUGUUCUCUGGCAGGCAGGAGUGGGGGUCACAAGGUGCUCAGCAGGGGAGCUUUUGAGCCAGGAUGAGCCAGGAGAAGGAAUUUCACAAGAUAAUGCCAUCAGUUAAGGUAGGAACAGGCUAUUUUCAUUUCUUUUGUGGUGGAAUGUCAUCAGUUAAGGCAGGAACUGGCCAUCUGGAUGUGUACGUGCAGGUCACAGGGGAUAUGAUGGCUUAGCUUGGGCUCAGAGGCCUGACAUUCCUGUCUUCUUAUAUUAAUAAGAAAAAUAAAAUGAAAUAGUGGUAAAGUGUUGGGACGGCAAAAAUUGGGGGGAUGGUAUGGAGAGAUAAUGGGCGAUGUUUCUCAGGGCUGCUUCGAGUGGGAUUAGGGGCGGCGUGGGAACCUAGAGUGGGAGAGAUUAAGCUGAAGGAAGAUUUUGUGGUAAGGGGUGAUAUCGUGGGACUGUUAGAAGAAACAUUUGUCAUUUAGAAUUAUUGGUGAUGGCCUGGAUACGAUUUUGUAUGAAUUGAGAAACUAAACGGAAUAAGAGGAGGAGAAAAACAGGUAUUAAAGGUCUAAGAAUUGGGAGGACCCAGGACAUCUAAUUAGAGAGUGCCUAAGGAGAUUCAGCAUAGUCCUGCCAGCAAAGAUUAUUUGUUUACUUCAAGAGUUAAGAGUGGGAGUUUGGGGAUAGCACCAGGAGAUAUCAGCUGUGAUGGCUUGGAGAAACAGUGUAAACCGGCAGUGUAAACAAGAGCAGGGCAUGUAUGAGUAGUUGAGAACGGUGACUAGGAGUAUGACUAGACAAGAUAGUAGGGAUGACAAGUUUUUUGGGGCACAGUCUAAGUUGGUCUGGUGUCUGGAAUGAGACUGGGGCUUAAUAAAAAGGAGCGUCUAUACAGGAGCUCAAAUGGGCUGUACCCUGUAGCAUUCCGAGGACAGGCCUGAAUUCUGAGAAAAGAAAGAGGUAAAAGUAUUGUCUAUUCCUUUUUAAGUUGGUGGCUGAGCUUGGUGAGGUGUGUUUUUAAAAGACCUUUAGUCUGUUCUACUUUUCCUGAAGACUGAGGACUGUAAGGGAUAUAAAGAUUUCACGGAAUACCAAGAGCCUGAAAAACUGCUUGGCUGAUUUGACUAAUAAAGGCUGGUCUGUUAUCAAACUGCGUAGAGGUGGGAAGGCCAAACCGAGUAAUUGUGUCUGACAGAAGGGAAGAAAUGACCGUGGUGGCCUUCUUAGACCCUGUGGGAAAGGCCUCUACCUAUCCAGUGAAAGUGUCUAUCUAGACCAAGAGGUAUUUUAGUUUCCUGACUUGGGGCAUGUUGAGUAAAGCUAAUUUGCCAGUCCUAGGCGGGGGCAAAUCCUUGAGCUUGAUGUGUAGGGAAGGGAGGGGGCCUGAAUAAUCUCUGAGAAGUAGUAGAGUAGCAGAUGGAACACUGAGAAGUUAUUUCCUUGAGGAUAGAUUUCCACGAUGGAAAGGAAAUGAGAGGUUCUGAGAGGCGGGCUAGUGGCUUGUACUGUAGCAUAGCCUGCCUUUGCUGGUGUGUGGCGAUUAGGCCUGGUGGGACUUCCAUCAAUAAACCAAGUGUGAUCAGGGUGAGAAACAGGGAAGAAGGAAAUAUGGGGAAAUGGGGUGAACGUUAGGUGGAUCAGAGAGAUGCAGUCAUGAGGGUCAGGUGUGGUAUCAGGAAUAAUGUGGGAGGCUGGAUUGAAGUCCAGGCCAGGAACAAUGGUAACUGUGGGAGACUCAACAAAGAGUGAGUACAGCUGAAGGAGCCGGGAAGCAGAAAGUAUAUGCAUCAGGUGUGAGGAAGAAAAUAGAUUUUGGAAACUGAGAGCUGUAGAGGGUGAGUUGAGCAUAGUUUAUGAUUUUAAGGGCCUCUAAAAAUAUUAGGGUGGCAGCAGCCGCUGCAGGAGACAUGAUGGCCAGCCUAAAACAGUAAGGUCAAGUUGUUUGGACAAAAAGCCUACAGGACGCGAUCCUGGUCCCUGUGUAAGAAUUCCGACUCCACAGCCCUGCACUUCGGCUGUGUGUAAUGAAAAGGGUUGGGAUGAGUCAGGGAGAGCUAGAGUGGGGGCAGUCUCUAAAGCUGUCUUCAAGGAACGGAAAGAGGAGUGGGGAAAGGAUUUAGGAUCUAUGGGGUCAGCUAGGUUUCCUUUUGUGAAUUUAUAUAAUGGUUUUGUUAGGAUGGCAAAACCAGGUAUCCAAAGGCGAAAGUAUCCAACCAUGCCCAGGAAGGAAAGGAGUUGUUGUUUUGUAGAAGGGAUUGAGGUUUGGGAGAUUAGCCAGACACGAUCAGCAGGGAGAGCACAUGUGUUUUUAUGAGAAUUAUGCUGAGAUAGGUAACAGAUGAGGAAGAAAUUUGGGCUUGACUGAAGUAAUGGGGGCUGUCUGUGAAGCUUUGCGCCAGUACAGCCCAGGUAAUUUGCUGAGCUUGAUGGGUGUCAGGGUCAGUCCAGGUGAAAGCAAAGAGAGGCUGGGAUGAAGGGUGCAAAGGAAUAGUAAAGAAAGCAUGUUUAAGAUCCAGAACAGAAUAAUGGAUUGUGGAGGCAGGUAUUGAGGAUAGGAGAGUAUAUGGUGUUUGGCACCAUGGGAUGGAUAGACAAAACAAUUUGGUUGAUAAGGCAUAGAUCCUGAACUAACUUGUAAGGCUUGUCUGGUUUUAGGACAGGUAAAAUGGUGGAAUUGUAAGGAGAGUUUAUAGGCUUUAAAAGGCCAUGCUGUAGCAGUCGAGUGAUAACAGGCUUUAAUCCUUUCAAAGCAUGCUGUGGGAUGGGAUAUUGGCAUUGAGCGGGGUAAGGGUGAUUAGGCUUUAAUGAGAUGGUAAGGGGUGCAUGAUCGGUCGCCAAGGAGGGAGUAGAGGUAUCUUAUACUUGUGGGUUAAGGUAGGGGGAUACAAGAGGAGGACGCAAAGGAGGCUUUGGAUUGGGAAGAAGGGCGGCAAUGAGAUGUAGCUGUAAUCCAGGAAUAGUCAGGGAAGCAGAUAAUUUAGUUAAAGUGUCUCAGCCUAAUAAGGGAACUGGGCAGGUGGGGAUAACUAAAAAGGAGUGCUUAAAAGAGUGUUGUCUAAGUUGGCACCAGAGUUGGGGAGUUUUAAGAGGUUUAGAAGCCUGGCUGUCAAUACCCACAACAGUUAUGGAGGCAAGGGAAACAGGCCUUUGAAAAGAAGGUAAUGUGGAGUGGGUAGCCUCCGUAUUGAUUAAGAAGGGGACGGACUUACCCUCCACUGUGAGAGUUACCUAAACCUUGGCAUCUGUGAUGGUCUACAGGGCUUCCGAGGCGAUCGGGCAGCGUCAGUCUUCAGCCGCUAAGCCGAGAAGAUCUGGGAAGGAGUCAGUCAGAGAGCCUUGGGCCAGAGUUCCAGGGGCUCUGGGAGUGGCUGCCAGAGGAAGAUACUGAGGGUAAGAAGUUGAGCAGCCCCCUAGAAGUCACAGAUUUGGUUUUGUCACUGAAGAACUAAAUGUAAGUAGGUAUAUGUACACAGCACAAUGAUAGUAUCUGCUCAAAACUGUAUUUGGUAAUAGCCAUAUUGCUCUCUUGAGCAAAAAUUUUAGCCAUGCCUAACAACACUAAUUUGCCAGAAACAUUCUAAAGAUCGAUUAAAUGUAUCAAAACAUUUGGAGCCUAGUUGAUAUAUGUGAUUAUGAGUUAAUUUAAACUAUUACAGAAUAACAACACUGGUUUUUAACAAUACAAAUAAAGCAAAAAUGUACACAACAGCAUUUUAUAAACCAAAAUCAAAGUGGUGGUCUAAUUUGGUGUGGCCUGUGUUAAAGCUUCAUUCAGAACUCCAAAGAGAGAAAGUAUUUGGUAUCAUUCUAAAAAACCGGGCACUAUAUACUUGAGAGGAAUAAAACCUGGAAAGCAGGCAGAUAACAAACUUAUUUAUUCAAUUAUUUAUCUAAUAAAUGUCUAUUAAAUAACUUCUUCGUGCUUGGGAAACAUUUAAAUAUCAAACCGAUCAAUAAGACACACAAAAACUCCUAUCCUUUGGAGUGUAAAUGCUACUGAGGGGACUGCCCAAAAACUAGGAAUAUAAUUAAUAUUAAAUUAAGUAGUAUGAUAGAAGAUGAUGUGAGCAAUGCAAAAACUAGAGAAAAGUAACGGGGAUUAGAAGUGCCAGGUAAGUGUGUGCAGAAAUUUUGGCCAUAUGACAAUUUAAAUAGAAGUUCCAGAGAACAGUUCACUGGGAGGGCAACAUUUAAGUAAAGAUUCGAAGACACUACGGUGGUUAACCGUGCGAAUAUAUGGAGGAAUGGUAUUCCAGGGAGAGGGAGAAUGGAACACAGAAGUCAUUAAAACAAAAUUGCAUAAGAAAGAACUGUAAGGAGGACACUGUAGCUAGAAAAGGGUGGACAGGUGGGAGUAGAAAAAGAGGAGGUCAGAGAAAACAGAAGGGAUAGUGUGAAAUAAUUGUCUAAAUAAGGAAGUAUAGGCCGCACGGUGGCUCACGCCUAUAAUCCCAGCACUUUGGGAAGCUGAGGGGGGCAGAUCACUUGAGACCAGGAGUUCAAAACCAGCCUGGACAACAUGGCAAAACCCUUUCUCUACUAAAAAUACAAAAACUAGCCAGGUGUGGUGGCACGUGCCUGUAGUCUAAGCUACUUGGGAGGCUUAGGCAGGAGAAUUGCUGGAACCUGGGAGGUGGAGGCUGCAGUGAGCCGAGAUUGUGCCACUGUACUCCAGCCUGGGUGACAGAGAAGGACUCCAUCUCAAAAAAGAAAAAGAAAAAAAAAUAAGGAAGUAGCAACACUGUCAGACAAUAUUAAUGCUCAGUCAAUAUUCAUAGUCAUAAAUUUAGAAGGUGGCUAAUCAGUAUCAUCUUGUAUUUGUCUCAAGCUACAUUCAGCUGGGCAGGUGAAGAUGUGCAGUAGAUGAAGAACUAGAUUUCAUCAGGGUUGCAGUUACUACAGAGUCAGAUCGAUAAUAUAUAGAAUAAAGCCUACUCAGUGGCAUUCCCCUUUCUGACCCAAUUUUAUGACUCACUUAUUUGAGCAGAAGACAAAUGAAAAUCUAUUUGAGACUAGCAAGUGCCUUCAAUAUAGCAAGAAACAAAUAUCUUAGAAGCAAUAAAAAAGGUAUUUCACUGUGAGCUAAGCUACAUACUUUCUGUUAGUUAUUCAAAAUCCACCGAGCUGAAAGUUACAGAAAUUGGAUUACUAUUGAAAAUUGAGAAAAUAAUAUAGUAUUCCAAAGGAACUGUACAGUUCAGAAUUAUAUAAUUUCAACAAAGUGUUUGAGACGAAUAGAACUUUCCCCCAAGAGUUUUUUGCUGCACUGAAAUUUUAUUAAACAGAUGAUCAGCCGUAACAUAAAGCUAUAGAAUAUAUUCUAUGAAGUCAAAAUACAUAGCACUUCCUUGUGAAUUUUCUUUAAAUGGCCAAAUAAUUUAUUAUUAUUAGUUCAAGUGAUGAGGGAUUGUAUCAAAUGGUAAAGAAGUGGAUAACACAAAAUCUGUAAACUUUUCCUUCCCUACCUUUCCUUACUAAUAAUUUAUCAUAUGUUUAAGUCCUAUUUUCUUCCCGUUAUGUCUACAGUUAAAAAAAAAUCUCUUCUGUAAAUGAGCAUUAUGAUUCUCUUCUGAACUUCUUAAAUUUAAGCCCAGCUAUGAUGCUUCCAAUUUAACAACAUCAUGCCCUUCCAAAGACAUAGAAACAGUGGGUAGUUACAACCACCCAACCCCAUUUUGCAUAGAAGAUAUUGUUACCAUGGCAACAGAGGACAACAGCGAACAGCAGCACACCGGUAAGUUCCCUGAACUUUAAUAAAUGGCUCUCUUUUAUUUAGUGCUACAUUCAUUGCCUAUACAAGAUUUAAAAAUCAACAGGAUGCUAAAAUGUGCAAUGCCCAUAUAAUAAAAUUAAAAAGGCCAUUUCUUGCUUCCACAAUUUUGUAUAUGCCUUGCACAUUAGUGCUUUUCAGUAUUUACAUGACUCAUCGCUCUACAAAAUAUGACUGGCUGAAAUAGAAGAGUAGUAAAUAGAAAGCAAUUUAACCUGAGUUAGUGUCUCACUAUUUCAUAUUUAGUUUUGUUGAGUAUAUACGUGUGGGCACACAUCUCUCUCUCUGUAAUUAUCGCUAGGAUUGACUCCAUCAGAAAAAAUUAUUUUCUUUUAAACUUAUUUUUAAUGAGAUUUCUACCUCCAUUGAAAAUGAAACCACAUUACCUAAGGGAAGUGCUCAAUAUCACUGUGCUUGAUUACUCAUCAAAGUCAUAUAGUUUGUAUUUAUAAAACCAGUAAUUAACACUUAAAAUAACUGACUCAUUUGACUCCUGGAAAAUAUGAUUUACUAACAUUUUUAGUGAAAACAUCAAAAUAAAAGACUACCAUUCUCUCAGGCUUCAGUGUUUUAAAAUUCUCUGAUUUAAGAUUGUCUCAUAACUCUUUUUUCUACCCCUCACAUCCCUCUAGUCUUUAUCAGGAUGUUUUUAUUUAUUUAUGUAUUUAUUUAUUGAUGUGUUCCACUUCUAAUUUUAACCAAUAAUUGGCUUUAUUUGUGCUGGAAUAAUGACUUCCUGCCUUGAUAUGGUAGGUCUUGAUCUUUGAUUCUCAGGAACAAGUUGACAAGCCUGGUAUGAUUUUGUAGCUUUUCUGUGUUCUCUAACUCCUGGCUGUCCAAAAUACCUGACACAUAUUAUUUUAGACUGUGAUGAAUCUAUAAUCACGC
rnacentral:lncRNA from 1 species